UAUUGAAAACGAUCAAGUGAAAGCCUUAGAAAUAUUAAGUAGGCGAAUGGUCCAAGUUCUUUUGAAAUACCUCACUUCUGAUGGUCCUGACCUCAACAAUAGAUUACGACUUUUUCUAAAACACUAUUUAGAGAUUUCCGCAACGGAUGACUUUUCUCUUUCAAGAGCUAAAAUUCAUUUGAACGUUUUCAUUGAUAAACUGGGACAGGGAGUCUAGAUAAUGGAACAAUUUCCUGUAAACGUGUUUUCCUCGCCAACUUCUCGCCUAAUCAAGUGCAAGUUACAGCGCCAUAGAUCAUGCACGCAUCUGAAACAAUAUCAAGGAGUUGUUAUAGAGGUUGAACCACAUUCUCUCAUUCAAGAAGUUGAGAAAUUUCUCCUAGUCCAUGACUAUGCGCGUCUAAGGGACGACGACUUCAACAGUGAAAACAAGGAUCUAGUGGAAGCUAGAAAUGAGAUGGAAAGGCACAUUCAGAGAGGAAAUGUUGUUCCUCAUCUACUCGCUAUUUUUAUCAACGACAAA